AACAGGUUUAGAUUCCUGUACCACAUGGUAUCAGAACUGUGGGGACGCAGAGGGAUAAGAUGACCGGGGGACAGAUUCCCGGGCAAGCGCAGGAGGUGUCAGGCAGGCAAAUCCGUCUGACAAGCCAAAGGCGUGACGCGGACCGAACUAAAGUAGGGAAGCAUCUGAUUCCAGCUGCCGAGAAAAGCCGCUAUUGUGUACCAUGUGCCCGUACCGUAAACCGACACAGGUGGAUGAGGAGAGAAUCCUAAGGCCGGCGGGAGAAGCAUUGUUAAGGAACUCGGCAAAAUGACCCCGUAACUUCGGGAUAAGGGGUGCCAGAGAGAUCUGGCCGCAGAGAAUAGGCUCAAGCAACUGUUUAGCAAAAACACAGGUCUAUGCGAAACCGUAAGGUGAUGUAUAUGGGCUGACGCCUGCCCGGUGCUGGAAGGGUUAAGAGGAGAGGUUAGAGCAAUCGAAGCUUUGAAUUGAAGCCCCAGUAAACGGCGGCCGUAACGAUAACGGUCCUAAGGUAGCGAAAUUCCUUGUCGGGUAAGUUCCGACCCGCACGAAAGGCGUAAUGAUUUGAGCGCUGUCUCGACAAUGCACCCGGUGAAAUUGAAAUACCAGUGAAGAUGCUGGUUACCUGCGCCAGGACGGAAAGACCCCAUGGAGCUUUACUCCAGCUUGAUACUGGGAUUCGGUAAUGCAUGCACAGGAUAGGUGGGAGGCUACGAGUACGGAACUCCGGUUUCGUAUGAGCCGCUGUUGGGAUACCACCCUUGCGUUACUGGGUUUCUAACCAUGGUCCAUGAUCUGGAUCGGGGACAAUGUCAGGUGGGGAGUUUGACUGGGGCGGUCGCCUCCGAAAGGGUAUCGGAGGCGCUCAAAGGUUCCCUCAGAAUGGUUGGAAACCAUUCGAAGAGUGCAAAGGCAGAAGGGAGCUUGACUGCGAGACCGACGGGUCGAGCAGGUAGGAAACUAGGACUUAGUGAUCCGGUGGUAUGAAAGUGGGAUUGCCAUCGCUCAACGGAUAAAAGCUACCCUGGGAUAACAGGCUUAUCACUCCCAAGAGUUCACAUCGACGGAGUGGUUUGGCGCCUCGAUGUCGGCUCAUCGCAUCCUGGGGCUGAAGUAGGUCCCAAGGGUUGGGCUGUUCGCCCAUUAAAGCGGUACGCGAGCUGGGUUCAGAACGUCGUGAGACAGUUCGGUCCCUAUCCGGCGCAGGCGGAGGAUAUUUGAGAGGAGCUGUCCUUAGUACGAGAGGACCGGGAUGGACGGACCGCUGGUGUACCGGUUGAGCUGCUAAGCUCAUGGCCGGGUAGCCAAGUCUGGCAGGGAUAAACGCUGAAGGCAUCUAAGCGUGAAGCCCCCCUCAAGAUGAGAUAUCCCAUUCGAAAGAAGUAAGACCCCUUGAAGACGACGAGGUAGAUAGGGCAGAGGUGGAAGUGCAGUAAUGUACGGAGCUGACUGUUACUAAUCGGUCGAGGGCUUAUC
rnacentral:rRNA from 1 species